AGGGAGUUUGAUCCUGGCUCAGGAUGAACGCUAGCUACAGGCUUAACACAUGCAAGUCGAGGGGCAGCAUGAAGGAAGCUUGCUUCCUUUGAUGGCGACCGGCGCACGGGUGAGUAACGCGUAUCCAACCUUCCCCUGACUCCGGAAUAGCCCGGUGAAAACCGGAUUAAUGCCGGAUGCGGUCCAGAGAGGACAUCUGACCUGGACCAAAGGCUUGCCGGUCAGGGAUGGGGAUGCGUCUGAUUAGGUUGUUGGCGGGGUAACGGCCCACCAAGCCGUCGAUCAGCCU
rnacentral:rRNA from 1 species